rnacentral:lncRNA from 1 species
UAUGUAAAUAAUAUAAUCUUAAUAUACAUGUGAAUAAUUUUGAAAAGAUGAUGGAUAUAUAUUAAGAUUAUAUUGAGUCAGAUUCAGGACGAAAACGUACUAUAACGUACUAUUAUCCGUAUCCGAUCUGAAUCCGUUUCAAAUAUUUUUUUUAGAACUCAUACUCGUCUUGAAUUUUAAUCAGAUGGAAUAAAAUCUACUAUAUUUGGAUUGGAC